AGGGUUUGAUUAUGGCUCAGGACGAACGCUGGCGGCGCGCCUAACACAUGCAAGUCGAACGAGAGAGAGGAAGCUUGCUUCCUCAAUCGAGUGGCGAACGGGUGAGUAACGCGUGAGGAACCUGCCUCAAAGAGGGGGACAACAGUUGGAAACGACUGCUAAUACCGCAUAAGCCCACGGGUCGGCAUCGACCAGAGGGAAAAGGAGCAAUCCGCUUUGAGAUGGCCUCGCGUCCGAUUAGCCAGUUGGUGAGGUAACGGCCCACCAAGGCAACGAUCGGUAGCCGGACUGAGAGGUUGAACGGCCACAUUGGGACUGAGACACGGCCCAG
rnacentral:rRNA from 1 species